UACGUAGGUGGCGAGCGUUGUCCGGAUUUACUGGGCGUAAAGAGCGCGCAGGCGGUCGUUCAAGUCGCGUGUGAAAGCCCCCGGCUCAACUGGGGAGGGUCACGCGAUACUGAUCGACUCGAAGGCAGGAGAGGGAAGUGGAAUUCCCGGUGUAGUGGUGAAAUGCGUAGAUAUCGGGAGGAACACCAGUGGCGAAGGCGACUUCCUGGCCUGUUCUUGACGCUGAGGCGCGAAAGCUAGGGUAGCAAACGGGG
rnacentral:rRNA from 1 species